rnacentral:lncRNA from 1 species
AGAUCGUGGGGACGAUAUCGACUGAUCGGCGGCCGAAUGACCGCGUGGUAACGCGUUGGCGUGCCAUGUAGAAAGACCCGAGUUCGCGUCCGAGGUCUGGCCCAGCAAUCCUCGUCCUUCACAAUUCGGCUCCCUCCACGGGUGUAGAUGCAACUCACUGUUGGAACUGUCCCGGCCCUUAGUAAUAUCACCGAUUGAAAAGGGCAUAAUAAAAUUAGCAAAACAUAAAUCGACCGAAUUCGGGUAUCUUGUCAAGAUCAAAUAAAGCUCGGUGAAGCUCUAUAUAAAGCUCUAUAAAGUUUGUUAUACUUCCCUCAGAGAAGCUUAAAUCUCCCACUCCGUCAUAGGUAAUUGCUCUCUAUCAGCCCGAGGCUGACCACUUCGCGGACUAAUAUCGUUAAGGCUUCUAUCUUUUUAGCUAUUCAUCUUUUCGCGAUAUAUCAUGUUAGGAUUUGGGAAUCAGUGGGCUUGUAUCUUACGCAGAAUAUAUGACGGGUCAAUUUUUAAUCGCAAUCCGUAGAAUUUGGACUAUCGAAAGGCGAAUGGCUGAGCAUUCCCACGAAGAGGAGUGGGUGCAAUCAGGUUCUUCCGACCUAAUGGUGAAUUUUUUUCAUUUGAGACAGUAUCUCUUGACAUCCGAACAAUCAUCAGAGUCUCAGGAUACUACAGAUUAUUUAAUCGAAAACCAAAGCACCUCGAGAUCCCGCAGCAGAAAGAACAGGUUGGCCAAGUCUGGUACUCGAUCUCACUCGUGAGAUCGUCAUACACUGCACUGGCACCUAGAUCGAUGCAGGGACAUUUUGACAUGAAUGUCGACCGGCUGAGAGUUUCUUAGUAUUUCCCAAACACUAUAAACAUAUCGGCCCGGCUGCAAAACAGAUGCAGACAGUACUCUCUAGAAUAAGCCCUCCCGCUGCGUCAAGGCGAGCUCUCUUCGGGAGAGUACAAUACUGUAUAGUGUUUGCGAAUUCCAUAUUCAAGAAUCAAAAAAAAAAAAAAAAAGGAAUACUUUGUGACUUUGAACCGAUUGUUUAUAUUGUACAUUUAG